rnacentral:rRNA from 1 species
AAACAUAGCCUUUAGCAGUACAAGUAUUAAAGGUCUCGCCUGCCCCAGUGAUUCUUUCAACGGCCGCGGUAUCCUAACCGUGCAAAGGUAGCGUAAUCAUUUGUCUCCUAAAUAGAGACUUGUAUGAACGGCUAACUGAGGGCCUAACUGUCUCCUAAAGCCAAUCAAUGAAACUGAUCUCCCAGUACAAAAGCUGGGAUAUACACAUAAGACGAGAAGACCCUGUGGAGCUUAAAAUACACACUAUUUUCAACCAAUUAAUAAAACUACGGAAACAAGCCAACAACAAUAUAGUGACACUUUUUAGUUGGGGCGACUUUGGAACAAAAAAAAACUUCCAUGACAGGGAACACCCCCUACCAAGGCCCACAAGCCAAAAUAACUUCUUUUGACCCAGACACCUGAUCAACGAACCAAGUUACCCCAGGGAUAACAGCGCCAUCCUCUUCAAGAGUCCAUAUCGCCAAGAGGGCUUACGACCUCGAUGUUGGAUCAGGACAUCCUAGUGGUGCAGCCGCUACUAAGGGUUCGUUUGUUCAACGAUUAACAGU